rnacentral:rRNA from 1 species
UCAGGAUGAACGCUAGCGGCAGGCUUAACACAUGCAAGUCGAGGGGCAUCGGGAGUAGCAAUACUGCCGGCGACCGGCGCAAGGGUGCGUAACGCGUGAGCAACAUGCCCGUAUCAGGGGGAUAAUCCAUGGAAACGUGGUCUAAUACCCCAUAGUAAUUAUGUAAGGCAUCUUAUAUAAUUUAAAGCUUUGGUGGAUACGGAUUGGCUCGCGUGACAUUAGCUAGAUGGUAAGGUAACGGCUUACCAUGGCUACGAUGUCUAGGGGUUCUGAGAGGAAGGUCCCCCCACACUGGAACUGAGACACGGUCCAGACUCCUACGGGAGGCAGCAGUGAGGAAUAUUGGACAAUGGAUGGAAAUCUGAUCCAGCCAUGCCGCGUGCAAGGAAGACGGCCCUAUGGGUUGUAAACUGCUUUUGUAUGGGAGCAAUAAGGGCUACGCGUAGUCCGAUGAGAGUACCAUACGAAUAAGCACCGGCUAACUCCGUGCCAGCCGCUGC